UUGUUUUUGGAAUGGUUUGUGCUGGUUCGUACUCGUACUUUGAAGCCAGUUACCCGGUGAAAGUGAGAAUUGAGAAGCGAAGCUUUUGAGUUUUGUUUGAACCUGUUUGCUGCGUAGCAUGUUCGAGGUUGAGGAUGGUUAACGAAGAUUGCAUCGUUGAUUGUGUUGACCAUGGAUGAGGAAAGGUUUCAUGCUUUGUGGUAUAAAGGGUUUUUUACUAAUGACGUUUUGCUUUUUCCGAAGGUAUUGAAUUACAUAAAAGGCAGUGAAGAAAAUUUGAAGACAAGACAAUAUUAUAUGCCAUAUGUUUUGAGAUUUACGUGUUUGUGUGGUUGAGUGUCAAAUUCCCGAUUAUCAGUAACGAAAUGGGACAUACGAAACGAUUGACACGUAUUUUACGUAAUGUCAAUCGUUGUUUAUUUUACUAAAAUACAAUUUCGAAGUCGUAAUUUUUGGCCCUAAUGUGAAAUGAAAAGUAAUCUUUUUAUUGUAAAGCUCGUUGAGUAUAAUCUUAAAUGUAAUAUUGCGACUGCAUUUCAACAUAUGCAUGAUAAAAUAGUGAAAUAAGUUUCAGUAAUAAAUUUAUAAUUGUCAA